rnacentral:rRNA from 1 species
UGGUGGAGUGAUUUGUCUGGUUAAUUCCGUUAACGAACGAGACCCCAGCCUGCUAAAUAGUUGCGCUAAUGAUUUUUCACUGUGUGAAGCUUCUUAGAGGGACGUGCAUUUUUCAAAUGCAGGAAGAUAGGGGCAAUAACA